rnacentral:lncRNA from 1 species
UUUUUAACACCAAGCAACUUAAGACUACUACCUAUGAAGUGUGUAGGAACAGCUAUGUUUUGUGGAAGAUAUUAUUGAAUACUGGCUACGUGACAAGGGGCAUGAGAACAAGUUCACAAGACCUGCUUAAGUGCAGCUGGACACGUAGGCAGGGCACGGUACCGUACAAUCUAGGAUAGAAAAAUGUGCAGCAGGAGAUAGAAACAGGCUCUUGGCUUAGACACCAGAAAACAAUAUAGAUAACAAUGUCCUGGGAAAAGUGCACAGCCUUCUACUGUAUCCACCUAUAAGGAGCUUGGCUUUUGCAAUAUGUAUGAGCUAAUUAACUCUGUUAUAUAAGUAAUAAGAUAAUUCUGAAUAAACUGAGACUUGUUGAUCAUCAUCGGAUGUGCUUGUCUCCCGUUGUUCUCCGACAAAUGGUGACCCCGACGUGCCACGAUGGAGCAACGAGUGGUCAGGUCCUUUGCAGCGAGGACGGCUAAAACACAGCGAAGAAAACUGUGUCGAGCCCCGGGCGUUCGCAUCAGCGUACCCAGCUGAAACAUGCUGCCGAGACCUUGGAGAGCUGCAACAGCGCACGCUGACAAUAUUCAGGAUGUGCUUGUCUCCCGUUGGUCUCCGACAAAUGGUGACCCCGACGUGAUCCACGACGGAGCAACGAGUGGUCAGGUCCUUUGCAGCGAGGACGGCUAAAACACAGCGAAGAAAACUGUGUCGAGCCCCGGGCGUUCGCAUCGGCGUACCCGGCUGAAACGUGCUGCCGAGACCUUGGAGAGCUGCAACAGCGCGCGCUGACGAUAUUCAGGUAUGCAGAGGCAAGCAGCAUAUGAUUUAUGUACAUGUCUCUUACAAAAGAGAGGGCAUGAGAACAAGUUCACAAGACCUGCUUAAGUGCAGCUGGACACGUAGGCAGGGCACGGUACCGUACAAUCUAGGAUAGAAAAAUGUGCAGCAGGAGAUAGAAACAGGCUCUUGGCUUAGACACCAGAAAACAAUAUAGAUAACAAUGUCCUGGGAAAAGUGCACAGCCUUCUACUGUAUCCACCUAUAAGGAGCUUGGCUUUUGCAAUAUGUAUGAGCUAAUUAACUCUGUUAUAUAAGUAAUAAGAUAAUUCUGAAUAAACUGAGACUUGUUGAUCA